rnacentral:rRNA from 1 species
UACGUAGGGGGCAAGCGUUGUCCGGAAUCAUUGGGCGUAAAGCGCGUGUAGGCGGCUUGAUAAGUCUGCUCUGAAAGCCCGGGGCUCAACCCUGGGAGGCGGGUGGAUACUGUCGAGCUCGAGUCCGGAAGAGGCGAGUGGAGUUCCUGGUGUAGCGGUGAAAUGCGCAGAUAUCAGGAGGAACACCAAUGGCGAAGGCAGCUCGCUGGGACGGUACUGACGCUGAGACGCGAAAGCGUGGGGAGCAAACAGG